rnacentral:rRNA from 1 species
UACGAAGGGGGCUAGCGUUGCUCGGAAUCACUGGGCGUAAAGGGUGCGUAGGCGGGUCUUUAAGUCCGGGGUGAAAUCCUGGAGCUCAACUCCAGAACUGCCUUUGAUACUGGGAAGCUUGAGUCCGGGAGAGGUGAGUGGAACUCCGAGUGUAGAGGUGAAAUUCGUAGAUAUUCGGAAGAACACCAGUGGCGAAGGCGGCUCACUGGCCCGGUACUGACGCUGAGGUGCGAAAGCGUGGGGAGCAAACAGG